rnacentral:rRNA from 1 species
UACGUAGGGGGCAAGCGUUGUUCGGAAUCACUGGGCUUAAAGGGCGCGUAGGCGGGCCGGCCAGUCGGAGGUGAAAGCCCCCAGCUUAACUGGGGAAGUGCCCCCGAUACUGCCGGCCUGGAGGGGGGUAGGGGCGUGCGGAACUUCCGGUGGAGCGGUGAAAUGCGUAGAUAUCGGAAGGAACACCGGUGGCGAAGGCGGCACGCUGGGCCCACCCUGACGCUGAGGCGCGAAAGCCAGGGGAGCGAACGGG